rnacentral:rRNA from 1 species
CUACGGGCCGCAGCAGUCGGGAAUAUUGGACAAUGGGGGAAACCCUGAUCCAGCCAUGCCGCGUGUGUGAAGAAGGCCCUAGGGUUGUAAAGCACUUUUAGUAGUGAGGAAGGCUCAGUAGUUAAUACCUACUGGGAUUGACGUUAGCUACAGAAAAAGCACCGGCUAAUUUCGUGCCAGCAGCCGCGGUAAUACGAAAGGUGCAAGCGUUAAUCGGAAUUACUGGGCGUAAAGCGCGCGUAGGCGGCUUGGUAAGUUGGAUGUGAAAGCCCCGGGCGCAACCUGGGAACUGCAUCCAAAACUGCCUAGCUAGAGUAUGGUAGAGGAUGGCGGAAUUUCCUGGGUAGCGGUGAAAUGCGUAGAUAUAGGAAGGAACAUCAGUGGCGAAGGCGGCCAUCUGGACCAAUACUGACGCUGAGGUGCGAAAGCGUGGGGAGCAAACAGGAUUAGAUACCCCAGUAGUC